AAUGAACUUUGGAACUUCAUGGUUGACACGCAUGCGUAUUGCAUCCAUUUUAUUAUUGACCGGUCAAUAAAUAUUUCAUUGCGGAGCGGUUGCUAACCUGAAGUUCAGGCCCUAAUUUGAAAUAGGGCCUGACACAAAACCUGUCUAGACCGUGGGACGCCCACAUGUUAUUUUUAGACACACAUGCAAUAUGAUUGACAAGUGUUGUAGAUUUCGUUACACAAAAAAAUUAUAUUCUCAUGAACAUGUCCGCAGAGCAUUUUGCUUUUUAAUUAAACUUAAAAUUCAAGGUACUUUUAUAUAAUU